rnacentral:rRNA from 1 species
AUUGAACGCUGGCGGCAGGCCUAACACAUGCAAGUCGAGCGGAGCGGCGGUCGGGGGAGUAAUGGCAAGGAAUCUGCAUGGGAGUGAGGGAUAACGUCCAGAAACGGGCGCUAAUCCCGCAUACUCUCAGAUGAGGCUAGGUCGGAUUAGCUAGUUGGUGGUGUAACGGCAUACCAAGGCGACGAUCCGUAACGGGUCUGAGAGGAUGAUCAGUCACACUGGAACUGAGACACGGUCCAGACUCCUACGGGAGGCAGCAGUGGGGAAUAUUGGACAAUGGGCGAAAGCCUGAUGCAGCCAUGCCGCGUGUGUGAAGAAGGUCUUCGGAUUGUAAAGCACUUUAAGUUGGGAGGCGUUACCCACAGAAUAAGCACCGGCUAACUCCGUGCCAGCAGCCGCGGUAAUAC